CUACUCUGCUCAAUGAUUUUUUAAAUUGCUGUGGUAUUUUGACUAUACAAAGGUAUUGUAAUAAGAUUUUAAUUGAAUGCUAAAAGAAUGGAAUUACAGGGAAAAACUUUUUUAAAAUUAAAAAUUGAAGUUAUUUCAAUUUGUGAAGAAACAAUUAUAUAAAUUAAGGACAAGAAGACCCUAAGAAUUUAAAAAAUUUAUAUUAAUUAAGUAUUUAAUAUAAAUUUUUUGGUUGGGGCAACCAAAAAAUAUUUUUAACUUUUUAAAAAUAACAUGACCCAUUAUUAAUGAUUAUAUAACAAAAUACUCUAGGGAUAACAGCGUAAUAAUUUUAGAUAGAACAUAUAGACAAAAUAGUUUGCGACCUCGAUGUUGGAUUAGGAUACUUUUUUGAUGAAGAUGUCAAAAAAAGAAGUUGUCACUUAUUCCCAAAUCCUACUUGAUCUGAGUUCAGACCGGA
rnacentral:rRNA from 1 species